rfam:Lachnospiraceae bacterium 3-2 genomic scaffold acPFJ-supercont1.3, whole genome shotgun sequence.
AUAAUGAUACUUCCGGGUUGCGGGGAAACCGCAAUCCGGUCAAUGAAAUGACGGUGCAAGACCGAUGU